rnacentral:rRNA from 1 species
GAUCAUGGCUCAGAUUGAACGCUGGCGGCAGGCCUAACACAUGCAAGUCGAACGGUAACAGGAAACAGCUUGCUGUUUCGCUGACGAGUGGCGGACGGGUGAGUAAUGUCUGGGAAACUGCCUGAUGGAGGGGGGAUAACUACUGGAAACGGUAGCUAAUACCGCAUAACGUCGCAAGACCAAAGAGGGGACCGUCGGCG